UGAACGUAAGUAUGAAAGAACUACACAGCACUGAUGUUCUAUGAAAGAUCAUUACAUGAAAUCACCAUGUUUACUGCCUGUUGA
rnacentral:sRNA from 1 species